rnacentral:rRNA from 1 species
GACGAACGCUGGCGGCGUGCCUAAUACAUGCAAGUAGAACGCUGAAGGAGGAGCUUGCUUUUCUGGAUGAGUUGCGAACGGGUGAGUAACGCGUAGGUAACCUGCCUGGUAGCGGGGGAUAACUAUUGGAAACGAUAGCUAAUACCGCAUAAGAGUAGAUGUUGCAUGACAUUUACUUAAAAGGUGCAAUUGCAUCACUACCAGAUGGACCUGCGUUGUAUUAGCUAGUUGGUGAGGUAACGGCUCACCAAGGCAACGAUACAUAGCCGACCUGAGAGGGGGAUCGGCCACACUGGGACUGAGACACGGCCCAGACUCCUACGGGAGGCAGCAGUAGGGAAUCUUCGGCAAUGGACGGAAGUCUGACCGAGCAACGCCGCGUGAGUGAAGAAGGUUUUCGGAUCGUAAAGCUCUGUUGUAAGAGAAGAACGAGUGUGAGAGUGGAAAGUUCACACUGUGACGGUAUCUUACCAGAAAGGGACGGCUAACUACGUG